rnacentral:lncRNA from 1 species
GAGGCAGAAUUAGAAGGAGCUACAUAAAAAGAGAGAGACAUAGAAAGUGAUGAAAUAAGAACAAUGAAAAAAGGGUGAAAAGAAAUACAAAAGAAAUUAGAGAGAUGAAUGAUAAAAACUGAACUACAAGUUAAGGAAACUCUUCUGCAAAAAAUCCAAAGAUGGAAUGUUUCACAGAAGAGAGAAUGAAAGUGAUCAUGGAUGGAGGUGGAGAGAGACGUUUAGAAAUUCCAACUUGCCAAAGUGUGCUAGUGAGAUCUUCAGUGACCAAUGCCUCAUUAUUCCUUCAUCAGUCUCCUGAAUCAUCAAUUUCUGCCUCUUCACUGGAUCACUCCAAGUACUAUAUGUACUAAUAUGCUAUGAUAUCUUAAUAAAAU